UACGUAGGGUGCGAGCGUUGUCCGGAUUUACUGGGCGUAAAGAGCGCGCAGGCGGUCGUUCAAGUCGCGUGUGAAAGCCCCCGGCUCAACUGGGGAGGGUCACGCGAUACUGAUCGACUCGAAGGCAGGAGAGGGUAGUGGAAUUCCCGGUGUAGUGGUGAAAUGCGCAGAUAUCAGGAGGAACACCGGUGGCGAAGGCGGUUCUCUGGGCAUUACCUGACGCUGAGGAGCGAAAGUGUGGGGAGCGAACAGG
rnacentral:rRNA from 1 species